UUACCAUUCCCUUUGUUGGUCUCAUGCGUGUCGGCACUUUCGUUCAUCCACCACUUGCUUGGACAAUUCUUAGGCGUCGGUGUGCAUGCAUGACUCGAUGACGUCGCCUCUGGUCGCAUUGCACAAUCGCAGACUCUGCACUUCCGGUUGUCUACAGCCAACGGCGGGCAGCGGUUUUCUUCAUUUCCGGAAGUGUUUCCAGAAUAUUGGAAAAGGAAUUGUUGAUACGACAUGCCACCUCCUACCGACCGGAGCCCCGGUACGCGAGCGAGGGAACUUCCGGGGUUCCAAGGUUUCUCGGUACAACAGUGGAGAGUUCUUCCGUACUGCCUCUGCUACAGAGUCUGGUGCAACAACUGAGUAUGCUGGGAAAUCAAAGCCCACGAAGCGGCCUGCUGUCGUUUGACGAAGCCAUGCUUUGGCGCUCGUUCGACCCGCCGUCACGGACAGUACUGCAGACGACAGUCCGUACCUCAGUCGACUUCCUGUUCAGUCGUCUGGAGAAACUGCACGGCCGGAUAUUGGUGUGUCGCGCCUUGGGAUAUUUUACCUUAGCCAAUAACGGAAUCACCGAGGUGGAGCUUGAUGACGUAUUAAAUGAC